rnacentral:lncRNA from 1 species
UUAUUCCACCCCUGCCGUGGACAAAAUCAUGCUAACGUGUGGUAUUGAGAAGGUCUCUUCUCAUUUUUGUCAUCUGUAAUUUAUGUUCACAUGCUGUAUUUUGCUGUUGGGGCAAGUUCAAGUGUUUUUGCUCAUAAUUACAGUGGGCUACUUCAUUAAGCCUCGGUAACGUGACUCUAUUUGCUUGCAAGUUCACACCCUGAAGCUGAGCAAAAGACCUGUAAGAAGAGCACUGGAGGGCUGCCUGCUUGAGACAUUUAACACUAAAUUGGAAAGAGCACUGCAAAAUGCAAGGAAUAUCAAGAGUCCCAGUCUCUUCAUUUGAAAAGCUUGUCUUGUUAACUCUGCUAGCCCCUAGGUAAAAAACAAGGUGUUUGGAGCUCAUUCCAGGCCAGACAGUUACAACUCAAGACCUGCCAAAACCUACCAACCACUCUGAGUCACAUUAAGAACAGCUUCCACAUAUUUCAGUUCUGCAGUAUACAUCUCUCUCUGAGGCAACCCAUACUAUCAUUCAGCUCCUUCCCUUACUGGGUGAAGAGUGUAUUCUCUUCUGUUGGGGCUAGGAAUUGGUACCUGUCUCCCAGAUUUCAUAUCUUCCAAAUGGGAAAGGUCAACAGAUUGAUGGCAAGAGGCAAGGCGUAAAAUAGAGCUGAGAACAUGACAAAAGAAGAAGAAGAGAAGAAAAAGAAUUUCAAUGCCACACGCUAAAUACCCAGAUGUUAUUAAAAAAUCCUCAAUGGUUAAUUGUUUUUUCAAGCUUUCCUUCUGUGAGACCCUGUCAAUCUCUUCAUUGUGAGGUAUUUUUCUUUGUAACACAAUUGUAUCCUUUACAUCAGGCUUUCAUCCUCCCAACAGCUAACUCAGGGCAAAUUUACAAUAAAAAUAGAAGGUGGAUUUGUCACAAUUUGUUGAGACUGCAGAUUUACAAUUAAAGGUGGUGGUACUCCUUCUGUCUGUAUAGUUUUUGCUUGGCUACUGAAUGUAGUCUGACUGACCCUUUAGAAUACCCUUUAAAAAAUAACAAACACUGGUCUCCUUAAGAACUUGUGAUGAAUAAAAGAGGAGGGUUCCUGCUUUGUUAUCCAAGAUUUGCUCAGUAAAAGGUAGAGAAUGUGAGACUUCACUAGUUGUAUACUGAUUGCACAGCUCUUUUUCCUAGAACAAAGACAUUGUUCCUUCAAAGAACACUACUACUAGCACAGGAAAAUCAUUUUAAUAUUUGACAUCCAUAAUACUUAACACUGUGGCUGGAUUUUGUUCAAGUGAAAGGAAUUCAUCCAUGCCAAUUAAAUAAUUCAUUGCAUAGUUCAAAAGAUCCUGAUAAGAGUUACCCCACAGAUUAUACUGCUUUUCCUGCUUUAAUUAUGAAUUUGUAGUUAAAGCACAUGACAGGGCUUCAGGGGUGGGUUCUACUUCUUUCUUUGUGAUGGGUUACUGGGGGCAAUUUCCUUAAUUUUAGUCUCUCUUGGCCACAUCCUUAGCUCGUGGUGUAAAUCAGCCCACGUUUACCAAUUUGAAAGGCAUUCUGCCUAUUUACACUGGCUCUGAAUUUGGCCUCUUGAUUAAGGAAAAAAAAAUGGGGAAUGGAAAUACCUCUCUUGUGUCAGAAGAGCUAUGGUGUUGAUAUUGGUAACACUUUUAACAAGUUUCAUUCUUUUUAACAAAUGAGACCUACAUCUCAUUUCAAAGACAGGCAUACAAAGAAGAUGCAGUGAAUAUUUCUAGAGCCUUUGCCAUGACUGUAUUGCGUACUACAUUUAAUUCAUGAACAGCAGACAAACACAUUCCAAGAACACAAUACCUAAUUACACUGCAGAAUUUUAUCUCAGUUUUCUUUACACUCUGUUGAAUAUUUUCACUCUUAUUGGAGAACAGAAAUAAAAAAAUGCCUAGAUCAAGUUGGAAAAUAUGUUGCUGCUAAUGCUAUGGCUGUUCCUAUUUGUCAAGUAUUUCAAAUAACAUAGGGGGAAAUGACUAUUUCUUACUGAUGGGGCUGUAGUAUGAGUAACUGAACUUCAAAGAUGCCGGGCCAGAUUGGAUAGCAAACAUCAAAAGCUUUUGACUCGUGCUGAGUAAACUUUGUAUUCUGAC